ACAGUGAUGUUUUCUCUAUCAUAUUUUAAUGUCGACUUCACUUCCUUGUAGGUAUUAUGGAUCAAGUUAAUAAGGAUGGCAACCUUACUUUCUACUCCCAACUUUUCUCCAGACUGAUUGAGAGUAUUAGUAAUUUUCUUGAACUCAUCCAGGUCCUUGUCAUAGAAGGCCAUGAGCUUCUCCCAAAUGUCAGAUAGUGGUCUCAUCAAUUACCUUUCUCAACACAGUGUCAGUGAUGUUAAGGAUGAAUGUACCGUAAGAAAAUUCUUCCAUAUUCUCUUUUUCUUCUUUGCUUAGAGUUGUGAGUGUCUUGGGGUCUUUUAAGGCCUUCAAGGCCUUUUGCAAUCCAAGAAUGUAGUAAUCCUUUUUUCCCAAAGGGUAAAGUCCCCAAUCCCAUUGAACUUUUCAAUUUCAAACUUCAUGGUAGUCAUCUUCCUUCUUUGGCUCUAAUACCAGUACUUGAAAAAUAAAAUUGACGUUUUAUGUGUUUAAAAUGAGGCCACUAUAAGCUCUUUUCUUUCCACGAAUUAUGCUCUUUUAACCAAAUCGAAUUUCACUUUAUAUUGAUUUCAUUUCUUCUUCCUUUUUCUGCAUGCGAUCGAGAGAGAAAAGAAUGAGAUUCUAGGGUUUGAUCUUCAAGGAUGCAGCGGUGAUCUCCAAUAUCAAGAAGAAAGUAAAGAAUAUGAAGAAGAAGAAAAUAACGAUAAGGUUUAUAAAGAUUUUCGUAGAUAAGCUGGGAGUAAGAGAAAGAGGAAAUGAAUUUAACUUCACUACUGGUAUGAAAAAUGCAUCAAGGGAUUCAUAUAUAUUCUAAAAAAUGAAAAAUUAGGAGAGAUGCCCUCCAACCCUUGAAACCACAACAAGAUGAACGUCCUUCUCGAGAUAAUUGGAAAACAUCGUGCCUCCACUCACGCCAAUCGUCGUCGUGCCAUUUUGUUGUCAUGUCGUCAUGUCUCACUCAUUCAACUCUCUCCUCUAGCGUUGUCACGCUAUUGUCGAACACGUCCCUUUGUCAUGUGGAUAAUUGGUUCAAUCAACUAAUUCCUCUUCAUCUCUCGCAGUGCAGCUCAUUGGAGACUCUAAAUCUGAGUAAUAAGAUCUUCUCUCUAUUUUAAGUUCUGUCACUUUACUUUUAUGAAUGAAUGAAUUAUGAAUCAAAUCUAGAUUUCCAUUACGAUUCAU